GUGGGGAAUAUUGGACAAUGGGCGAAAGCCUGAUCCAGCCAUGCCGCGUGUGUGAAGAAGGUCUUCGGAUUGUAAAGCACUUUAAGUUGGGAGGAAGGGCAGUAAGUUAAUACCUUGCUGUUUUGACGUUACCGACAGAAUAAGCACCGGCUAACUUCGUGCCAGCAGCCGCGGUAAUACGAAGGGUGCAAGCGUUAAUCGGAAUUACUGGGCGUAAAGCACGCGUAGGUGGUUUUGUAAGUUGGAGGUGAAAUCCCCGGGAACAACCUGGGAACUGCCUCCAAAACUGCAUGACUAGAGUACGGAAGAGGGUAGUGGAAUUUCCUGUGUAGCGGUGAAAUGCGUAGAUAUAGGAAGGAACACCAGUGGCGAAGGCGACUACCUGGACUGAUACUGACACUGAGGUGCGAAAGCGUGGGGAGCAAACAGGAUUAGAAACCCUUGUAGUCC
rnacentral:rRNA from 1 species